CCUUCGAUAGCUCAGUUGGUAGAGCGGUGGACUGUAGUGGGAAAGAAAUUACGAGCAGAUAUCCAUAGGUCGCUGGUUCAAAUCCGGCUCGAAGGA
rnacentral:tRNA from 1 species